rnacentral:rRNA from 1 species
UACAGAGGGUGCAAGCGUUAAUCGGAAUUACUGGGCGUAAAGCGUGUGUAGGCGGCUUUGCAAGUCGGAUGUGAAAGCCCCGGGCUCAACCCGGGAAGUGCACUCGAUACUGCAGGGCUUGAGUAUCGGAGAGGUUGGUGGAAUUCUCGGUGUAGAGGUGAAAUUCGUAGAUAUUCGGAAGAACACCAGUGGCGAAGGCGACUUACUGGACACAUAUUGACGCUGAGGUGCGAAAGCGUGGGGAGCAAACAGG